rnacentral:lncRNA from 1 species
UUAAGUCAUACCACACUGAGCUCUUUAUUACCAGAGAUUUUUUGGACAGAAGCAUAUAAUCUAGAUUUUCUGAAUCAAUAGGCAGAUGGUAGAUACUUUUUUCUUUUUCAGUAUUUUUUCCAACUUGUACAUUUCAGAUUUACAUAACUUGUUUUUUCACACAUCUGAAGAAACAUUGACAGAAAUCUAAAUUUAUCUUGGAUGCAUUUACAACUAUUUUUCUUUUUUGCCUGCCAUGUCUCUGUCUAGACUUCUGCCAAAAAGCAGGAACUUUCAACUUUCUCUUCUGUGGAUGUAAAUAUCCUUAAACAUUGUGCAGAGAGUGGCAUGACUGUCACUUUCUCAUGAGGAUGUGGGACCCAUUACUCCACCACUGAAACACAUUGUGUUUCCAUUGGCCAAGGUAAGCAGCUCUGCCAUCUUCCUGCCACACACUGCAUUACUGUGCAUCUCACCGAAAUACAUGAUCAUUGUGACUCCAAACUGGUUGGGUUUUUUACUAUUGUUUUCAAUUUGGUUCACUGGAGCUGCAUCCAGCUCUCAAUUUGACUUCAUGUUUUAUUAGUCAUUAUUUUUGCAAAGGCCUUAAUUCCCCUCUAAAACAUUUUUAUUAAAACAUCAAUUUCUCAGUGCCACACUUCAUGAGCAGAUUUUGCAGCAACUUCAAAGAGAUGCAGAUGUUUACUUGGUGCGGUGAUAUCUAAGGCUGCCUACUGGCAAAGAAAAAUUCAUAAACAUCUCUAAGAAACUUUGCUGUGGUAAUGAUAACAUUUCCUUCUAAUGUUUUAGCAAGGCUAAUAUUUCCCAGUCUCAACAGGCAUGUUUCAUAGACACAGGCAAAAGCAUUGUUAUCUACUCACAGUCUGAGCCAUGUCAGAUACACUGCUAUGGGGAAAGUAACUCUCAGUGGUGAUACCUCGGGCUUUUGGCAAAGGGCACAAGAGGCCACCGGUUAGUUUGCUGUGUGGGGUUAUCAGUAGGCUUGGAAUAAGGAAACCAAAGUUCACUUUCUGCUCGAUUUUCUAUACCCUCCAACGUGAUUUUGAGUGGCCAUUUAGCUUUGUGUGCUUCAGUUCCUGUUGUUAAAGGGAUGAUAAUAUAUCCUGGCCUUUAAUCAAUUUAUUGCCAGGUGGCAGAAUCUAUCUCCCAGUGCACCAAGGGCUUCCUACUUCCUAGAGGGUCCUGGGUUUUUUAAAGUGCUGUGGUAGUAAAAUGAAGAAUUGCUAAGGAUUUAUUCUGGAGGAGUUUCUCCUUACUUGUGGUACGUGAGCCUGGAGCUAGUCUGAGAUCUCAUUUUGGGAUCACAUCUAUCUGAGGGUAACCAGGCAGGCAAUGGUCCUCUCCACAUUGAGAUGAUGGAAUGAAGCACACAUGGCC